rnacentral:rRNA from 1 species
UUGAUGGCGACCGGCGUACGGGUGAGUAACGCGUAUCCAACCUGCCCUUUACUAUGGGACAGCCCGUCGAAAGGCGGAUUAAUACCGUAUGUUGUCAUGUUGAUGCAUAUUUUCAUGACCAAAGGCUUCGGCCGGUAAAGGAUGGGGAUGCGUCUGAUUAGCUUGCCGGCGGGGUAACGGCCCACCGGGGCGACGAUCAGUAGGGGUUCUGAGAGGAAGGUCCCCCACAUUGGAACUGAGACACGGUCCAAACUCCUACGGGAGGCAGCAG